rnacentral:rRNA from 1 species
GACGAACGCUGGCGGCGUGCUUAGCACAUGCAAGUCGAACGGAAAGGCCCUGCUUUUGUGGGGUGCUCGAGUGGCGAACGGGUGAGUAACACGUGAGUAACCUGCCCUUGACUUUGGGAUAACUUCAGGAAACUGGGGCUAAUACCGGAUAGGAGCUCCUGCUGCAUGGUGGGGGUUGGAAAGUUUCGGCGGUUGGGGAUGGACUAGCGGCUUAUCAGCUUGUUGGUGGGGUAGUGGCUUACCAAGGCUUUGACGGGUAGCCGGCCUGAGAGGGUGACCGGCCACAUUGGGACUGAGAUACGGCCCAGACUCCUACGGGAGGCAGCAGUGGGGAAUAUUGCACAAUGGGCGGAAGCCUGAUGCAGCAACGCCGCGUGCGGGAUGACGGCCUUCGGGUUGUAAACCGCUUUCGCCUGUGACGAAGCGUGAGUGACGGUAAUGGGUAAAGAAGCACCGGCUAACUACGUG